rnacentral:misc_RNA from 1 species
GAGAGAGAGAGAGAGACAGAGAAAUUGGAAGAUAUAUUUUAAAAGACACUAUUGCAGUGGUGCACUUUUUUAUUGUUUGUCAAAAAAUAUGGUGACUUGUAUUGGAAAUUGGAGGGCAUAUUUGCAUACUCCUAGAUUGUUGUUUAGAGUAUAAAUGACAAUGACAAAGAAGCAUUCUACCCUCAUUUAAAAUGUUAACAAAAUGAAGAUGAAAUCUAAAUCAAAUUAGAUGAUUAUUUAAGAAAUCAAACAGAUCCUUUUACCUUGAUGUCACAAUUUGGAGCACUUGACUUCCUGAAGGUAUUGUUAGGUACGAAAGCCCAGAACUCACUGCAAUUUUGGAGCCAGCCAUAUUUGUUGUAAAGAUUUUUUUUUUCUCAUAAGUUUUGAAGCCAUAUUUUUGGUGUCGAAAUUUUUGUCAAUUACAAUGCAAUAAUUGAAGAAGUUAAAAAUAAAAAAAGAAGGUAAAAAAAAAGAAAGAAAAAGUAACAUUUAAGUUUUAAGUUAUAAAAUAAAAGAAUCAAAGUUAAUGUUUUAAGCAAAAUUUCCAUUGAAAAAAUAUUUUAAUAAAUAAAUUCUAUUUUGAAUAAUAGGCAUAAUUACAGAAAUUCUAUUAUAAAAUUAGUUUGGAAAAACAUAUUUUGAUUAAGAUGUACAAAAGUGGAAUCAAAUGAUAG